UACGUAGGAGGCAAGCGUUGUCCGGAAUUACUGGGCGUAAAGCGCGUGUAGGUGGUGGGACAAGUCUGCUGUGAAAGCGCCUGGCUUAACCGGGCGAGGUCGGCGGAAACUGUCCGACUCGAGGACGGUAGAGGGGGGUGGAAUUCCGGUGUAGCGGUGAAAUGCGUAGAUAUCGGAAGGAACACCAGUGGCGAAAGCGGCCUUCCGUCGGUCCAGCACG
rnacentral:rRNA from 1 species